UACGAAGGGGGCUAGCGUUGUUCGGAAUUACUGGGCGUAAAGCGCACGUAGGCGGAUUGUUAAGUGAGGGGUGAAAUCCCAGGGCUCAACCCUGGAACUGCCUUUCAUACUGGCAAUCUCGAGUCCGAGAGAGGUGAGUGGAAUUCCGAGUGUAGAGGUGAAAUGCGUAGAUAUUCGGAGGAACACCAGUGGCGAAGGCGGCUCACUGGCUCGGUACUGACGCUGAGGUGCGAAAGCGUGGGGAGCAAACAGG
rnacentral:rRNA from 1 species